GUGCAAAUGAUGGAAACUACUUCAACUGAGCUCAGUGAUGUUUUCAAAGGAACCACUGAUGCAC